ensembl:miRNA eca-mir-8938 eca-mir-8938
ACCUUCACCUUCGUUGGCGGUUCCUUUGCGUUCUGGCGGCUGCUGCUUCCUGCGGGUUGCGGGCCCCAAGGGGGCGCUGCUGUCACCCAGGGUGGGGGGAUGGCGGGCGCGGGUU